CGUAGGGUGCAAGCGUUAAUCGGAAUUACUGGGCGUAAAGCGUGCGCAGGCGGUGAUGUAAGACAGUUGUGAAAUCCCCGGGCUCAACCUGGGAACUGCAUCUGUGACUGCAUCGCUGGAGUACGGUAGAGGGGGGAUGGAAUUCCGCGUGUAGCAGUGAAAUGCGUAGAUAUGCGGAGGAACACCGAUGGCGAAGGCAAUCCCCUGGACCUGUACUGACGCUCAUGCACGAAAGCGUGGGGAGCAAACAGGAUUAGAUACCCUGGUAGUCCACGCCCUAAACGAUGUCAACUGGUUGUUGGGUCUUCACUGACUCAGUAACGAAGCUAACGCGUGAAGUUGACCGCCUGGGGAGUACGGCCGCAAGGUUG
rnacentral:rRNA from 1 species